UGGCCACAUCAAGUUAAAACACUGUUCUCGUUCGACCACCGAAGUUAAGCAACUUCGAGCCUAGUCAGUAUCUAGAUGGGUCUCCAUUUUGGAAUAUCAGGUACUGUAUG